rnacentral:ncRNA from 1 species
CGUAGGAAAUUUGAGAGGAGCUGUCCUUAGUACGAGAGGACCGGGAUGGACAUACCGCUGGUGUACCAGUUGUUCCGCCAGGAGCAUAGCUGGGUAGCUACGUAUGGAAGGGAUAAGUGCUGAAAGCAUCUAAGCAUGAAGCCCCCCUCAAGAUGAGAUUUCCCUUGGAGUUAAUCCAGUAAGACCCCUUAGAGAUGAUGAGGUUGAUAGGUCUCGGGUGGAAGCAUGGUGACAUGUGGAGCUGAGAGAUACUAAUCGGUCGA